GAUGAACGCUGGCGGCGUGCUUAACACAUGCAAGUCGAACGGUGAACGAGGGAGCUUGCUCCCUCCGGAUCAGUGGCGAACGGGUGAGUAACACGUGAGCAAUCUGCCCUGGACUCUGGGAUAAGCGUUGGAAACGACGUCUAAUACCGGAUACGAGGCGUGGGGGCAUCCCCAACGCCUGGAAAGAACUUCGGUCCAGGAUGAGCUCGCGGCCUAUCAGCUUGUUGGUGAGGUAACGGCUCACCAAGGCGACGACGGGUAGCCGGCCUGAGAGGGUGACCGGCCACACUGGGACUGAGACACGGCCCAGACUCCUACGGGAGGCAGCAGUGGGGAAUAUUGCACAAUGGGCGCAAGCCUGAUGCAGCAACGCCGCGUGAGGGACGACGGCCUUCGGGUUGUAAACCUCUUUUAGCAGGGAAGAAGCGAAAGUGACGGUACCUGCAGAAAAAGCACCGGCUAACUACGUGCCAGCCGCCGCAGUAACAC
rnacentral:rRNA from 1 species